rnacentral:lncRNA from 1 species
CCCUUUUCGGGGGAUACAGGGCGACUGGCCCAAGUGGGCCACCCGAUUGUCGGAUUCUGGAACUCCGACGAUGCUCUUUCUAGCUGCACAGAUGCCUGCAGCUGCUGCUGCAUGGUCUGCACCACUUCGGUGAGGUCUCUCUGACCUGCUGAACCAGCAGGUCGAAUUGCUCCAUGCCGACUGUCGUUGCCAGAGGAGGAGGAGCCUGAAAAACUGGAGACGAGGCUGGAGCUGGUGGAUCUUGCUG